AAUCAAAUGGUGGUCACUGAAUUCAUCUUUUUAAAUUUUUCCAAGCACCCUGCAUUACAAAUGGUUUUCUUCCUGUUCUCCUUGGUCAUUUACCUGAUCUCUCUUCUGGGAAAUGCAGUCAGGGUCAGUCCUGCCUUCUAUACUCCAGUGGGUUAUUUUCUUAGCCACUUAAGCUUCCUGGAUAUCUGCUACAUGUCUACCACCAUCCUGGUCAUGCUGGUGAACUUCUUCCAGGAGAGUAAGACCAUCUCUUAUGAGGGCUGCCUUUCCCAGAUCUUCUUCCUUGCAUUAUGAGCCAGCACUGAGGGGGUUUUGCUGGCUGCCAUAGCUUAUGACCACUGUGUGGCUAUUUGCCACCAUCUUCAAUAUAGGCUCCUAAUGAGUGGAAAGGUCUAUGUUUGUUUGGUGACUGGGUUUUGGAUGUGUGGGCUACUCAAUUCUGGGACACACACAGCACUGACAGCCACACUCACUGCGUGAACCCAACCCCAUCAGCUGCUUUCUCUGUGCCAUCCCAUUGCUCCUGAAGCUCUCCUGCUCAGACACCUGUCAGUGAGUCUGUGCUCCAUGUGGUGAGGGCCACCACUGGCCUGAGCCCCUGCCUGUUUAUGGCAAUGUCCUAUAUAUUCAUCAUCUCUACCAUCUUUGGAACAGACCACUUCAACUAUGACAGGCCCACAGAAGGGUGCUCCCUGGACACAGACAUCCUGGUCUCUGUGCUCUUUUGUGUUGUGACCCCAGUGUUGAACCCCAUCACCUACAGCCUGAGAAACAAGGAGAUCAAGGGUGCAGUGAUGAGGCUG
rnacentral:lncRNA from 1 species